AUUGAACGCUGGCGGCAGGCCUAACACAUGCAAGCCGAACGGUAACAGGAAUCAGCUUGCUGAUUCGCUGACGAGUGGCGGACGGGUGAGUAAUGUCUAGGAAACUGCCUGAUGGAGGGGGAUAACUACUGGAAACGGUAGCUAAUACCGCAUAACGUCGCAAGACCAAAGAGGGGGACCUUCGGGCCUCUUGCCAUCGGAUGUGCCCAGAGGGGAUUAGCUAGUAGGUGGGGUAACGGCUCACCUAGGCGACGACCCCUAGCUGGUCUGAGAGGAUGACCAGCCACACUGGAACUGAGACACGGUCCAGACUCCUACGGGAGGCAGCAGUGGGGAAUAUUGCACAAUGGGCGCAAGCCUGAUGCAGCCAUGCCGCGUGUAUGAAGAAGGCCUUCGGGUUGUAAAGUACUUUCAGCGAGGAGGGAGGUGUUGUGGUUAAUAACCACAGCAAUUGACGUUACUCGCAGAAGAAGCACCGGCUAACUCCGUGCCAGCCGCCGCAGUAA
rnacentral:rRNA from 1 species